rnacentral:rRNA from 1 species
CUACGGGCGGCUGCAGUGAGGAAUAUUGCACAAUGGGGGAAACCCUGAUGCAGCAACGCCGCGUGGAGGAUGACGCAUUUCGGUGUGUAAACUCCUUUUAUGAGUCAAGAAAAUGACGGUAGCUCAUGAAUAAGCACCGGCUAACUCCGUGCCAGCAGCCGCGGUAAUACGGAGGGUGCAAGCGUUACUCGGAAUCACUGGGCGUAAAGGACGCGUAGGCGGGCUUGUAAGUCAGGUGUGAAAUCCUACAGCUUAACUGUAGAACUGCACUUGAAACUACGAGCCUAGAGUAUGGGAGGGGCAGAUGGAAUUAGUGGUGUAGGGGUAAAAUCCGUAGAUAUCACUAGGAAUACCGAAAGCGAAGGCGAUCUGCUGGAACAUUACUGACGCUAAGGCGUGAAAGCGUGGGGGGCAAACGGAUUAGAUACCCGAGUAGUC